rnacentral:rRNA from 1 species
GAUGAACGCUGGCGGCGUGCCUAAUACAUGCAAGUCGAGCGAACGGACGAGAAGCUUGCUUCUCUGAUGUUAGCGGCGGACGGGUGAGUAACACGUGGAUAACCUACCUAUAAGACUGGGAUAACUUCGGGAAACCGUAGCUAAUACCGGAUAAUAUUUUGAACCGCAUGGUUCAAAAGUGAAAGACGGUCUUGCUGUCACUUAUAGAUGGAUCCGCGCUGCAUUAGCUAGUUGGUAAGGUAACGGCUUACCAAGGCAACGAUGCAUAGCCGACCUGAGAGGGUGAUCGGCCACACUGGAACUGAGACACGGUCCAGACUCCUACGGGAGGCAGCAGUAGGGAAUCUUCCGCAAUGGGCGAAAGCCUGACGGAGCAACGCCGCGUGAGUGAUGAAGGUCUUCGGAUCGUAAAACUCUGUUAUUAGGAAAGAACAUAUGCGUAAGUAACUGUGCACAUCUUGACGGUACCUAAUCAGAAAGCCACGGCUAACUACGUG